rnacentral:tRNA from 1 species
CGGUAGCUCAUCUGGAUAGAGCACCUGACUUCUAAUCAGGUGGUAGUGGGUUCGAAUCCCGCCCG